rnacentral:rRNA from 1 species
UACAGAGGGUGCAAGCGUUAAUCGGAAUUACUGGGCGUAAAGCGUGCGUAGACGGUUACAUAAGUCGGGUGUGAAAGCCCCGGGCUCAACCUGGGAAUUGCAUUCGAGACUGCGUAGCUAGGGUGCGGAAGAGGGAAGCGGAAUUUCCGGUGUAGCGGUGAAAUGCGUAGAUAUCGGAAGGAACGCCCGUGGCGAAAGCGAGGUCCUGGACGUCUACUGACGCUGAGACGCGAAAGCUAGGGGAGCAAACGGG